CCUGCUUGGGAUUCUGUCUCUCCCUCCCUCUCUCUCUGCCCCUCUGCCACUCAUACUCACUCUCUCAAAAUAAAUAAAUAAACUAUAACAACAACAACAAAAAUCUUUGCCUGAUUAAUGCGAUGAAGGGCAGGGCUAUCCCAGAUAUAAUUAAUCUGAUUUUCCUACAAACUCUUCUCCUCUUUAUCACUGUUACAUAUUUAUUGAAAUGCAUAUAAGUGAAGAAGGCAACAGGGAAGAUACAGCUUACUUUCUCUAAUAGGUGUACUCUAAGAACAUGUUGUAUAAACAGAACGGGCCUGUAUGUGAAUUCUUACUGAAAUAUCUUAGGGGAUGUUUAAAGAUACAUCAGGAUAAAACUUUUACAAAGUAAAACCAAAAAGUCUUUGUAUUCUGUAUCAGUCAGGAUAGGCUGGUUUAUGUUGCAGUAGCAAUUAACUUCCCAGUCAUCACAAACAUAUUUAUUCCUCAAAUUAUUUGUCCAAAGUGGGUUGGUCAGGAAAGUCUGGAAGUUUGGUAGAAGCUCGGUCUUCACACAUGCUUCUAGGAUCACUCCAGCAUGGGGAAGAGAACUCAGGAGACACUUGGACAAGAAAUUAAGUAUGCUGACCUGGAAAUGGAGAUCCAGUGUUCGGAACUACUCCUGUUGUCCUGCCCAACCAAAAAGGGCUGAGACGAUCAAUCUUCUGUAUGGGUGGAAGGAAAUAAGAACUGGAUAUUAGUGAGCAGCACUAAUGAUGAUCACAUUCUGCCCUUUCAGUUACCAAACUUUUGCUCCUCUCUCCUCCCCGCAGGUAAAAUACACUCUCUGUCCCUGCUCCUUUAAGGGAGACAACCCAAAAUCCAUCCAGUCAUAGCACCAAUCACAAAGUCCAGAAUCUCUGGUAGUUUCAUAUCAAGAAUGAUGCAACAUAUAGUCCAGAUAUAGCUCCUGGUGAUCUAGAGACCUGUACCUAAAAUUGCAGGUUAUCAACCUCUUUACUCACCCACCUACCCACACCCAGUGACAGUGAUAAAACAGGACCUGGAUAAUUUCAAUGAACACUCUUGCUUGGGUAGUGAACAGACAGGAGGCAUACCUCAAUUACUGGGUUGUUGCCACUCAGAAGUCUCACUGGGUAGAUGUUAUCAAGUGCCUCUUCUGGUAGAAGAGGGGCUUCCUGGUUCAUUAUACUUAUGGUCCUUGGCUCAGUCCAGUCUCACUUUCUAUGACCUUCCAUGGCCACGUUUGAAGUGGGUAUCAGGGACUAUACGGCCCUUGGGGUUAGGCAGACUUCUUAGCUUACAUUCUAACAAAUGAUGGCAAAAGUCUCAGUGUUACCUUAAGUCAUGAACUGUCAUGUUCUCUUUUAUUUCAGGUUGAUUUGGGGGGGCAAGAUAAUUCUCUCAAGAACUUCAUUGGAUUUCUUUCUCUUUGAUUUCAGUGUCAUGUACCAAAACACAUGACAGUUCCUUUCCUAUUUGAUGAGUGUCUUUGCUUCCUCACUCCCAUGCCUUUCCCUUCUUUCACGCAUUCACUUCCCUGAUGUCAGUGUGUGUGUCUUAUGCUGGUCAGGUGUUCAGAACAACACUUUUUAUCUCUCUGCUCUAAACAAUGUUGUUCAUUUUAAAGGAUAUUCUAGAUGUCAGUGUGUGGUAGGUAUAAUAAGUGUCCCCCAAGGAUGUUUACAUCCUAAUCCCUACACUUGUAACUAUGCUGUUAUGUGGUAAAGGAGAAUUAAGUUUGUGAAUCAGCUGACCUUAAAACAGGAAGAGUAUCCUAAAUUAUCCAGGUGGGUCCAAUGUAAUCAGGUGGGUCCUUAAAAGCAGAAUAGGCUGUAUGGCAACUAACUUAAAAAUAAAUAAUAAUUUUAAAAAAAGCAGAAUUGGGAGGCAGAAGGAAAGUCAGUGUCAGAGUCCGAGUCAUGUGAUAGGAGAAAGACCUGACCAGCCAUGGCUGGCUUUGAAAGUGGAAGGGGGCCAUGAGGCAAGGAAUGUGGGCAGCCUUUAGAAACUAGACAAGGUAAGAAAAUGGAUUGUCCCCAUGAGCCUCCAGAAAGGAACACAGUAUUGCCAACCCUUUGAUUUUAGCCCAGAAAGAGCCAUUUAAACUAUCAGAACUAUACAAGUAGAUCUGCAUUAUUUUAAGCCAUCAAGUUUGUAGUCAUUUGUCACAGAAGCAACAGGAAAUGGGUACACACGUUAAACCCGCUCAGAGCUUUUACCACUACCUUUUAACCCUGUUGCCAUUAUCCUUAAUUUAGUUUUAGAUGCACGGCAGAGUUUGAAUCAACCUUUGUUGCUCAAAACCCCUUCUCAAUUACAUAUUUUACUAUUUAAGUAUGGGGAGUAGCCAUUUCUUCUAACACCACAAGCCCUUGAAUUUGUGACCUAUUUCCUUUUUAGUCUAGCUUGUAAACCAACCAAUUCAUUCCGUAGCAUACCUCUACCAUAAGCUGAUCUCGCCUUGUCACAUAGAGCCGGUAGCAGCCAGCACGUUCCUAACAUUCUGUUUUCCAACUUCCUCCCUUAGUUCUCCAGUUUUGUUCGGUAUACAGUAUGCAUUCUGAGAUAUCGCACAUGAAAACAUACCAAAAAACAUGGAUCACCGUUCUUCCAGCUCCAUGGAUGGUUUCCUCAACAGUUUCUAGUUAAUGCUACAUUUUUGUUAUGAGUCAACAUAAUAAAGAAGAAUAAAAAAUUUAUUCCUUUCUAAAAAAGGCUUAUGAUGCCUUUUAUCAAGGCCCUUCAAUAAAACUGUUGAAAUGGAAAUCAAAAACUAAAACCAUGUUUGGUAUUGAUGUCCCUCCAAAAUCCCCAUUACCUGGAAUUUAAUUAAACAGUAAUCUGAGUAUGCUGUGAGGAGGCUUUGAAGAUGGAGUUGAAGUUCUGAAUCCACUGACUUCUAAACACAGAGAAAGGAGGUUGAAUCUUGGAUGGCUGGCGACUUGGAGGAUGAUGAAGGGGUAGGGAGAGUUUUAUAGAAGACCUUCGACCCGCAUAGUCUCUAGGAGAAGGCGGAUGGAAAGGAAAAUCCCAGGAGGAGGAAACACAAUGGAAGGAGGAAUGUGAGAUGCAGGUGGAUUAGAAGCAGCAUCCCAGGGACAUCAGUGUGUUAAUGACUGAUGGGGAGGGGAGGUUGGAGGCAGGGGUUGGAGGCUUUGAACCCCUCCAACUUUUGGGUUUUCAUAUACUUUUGGAGCCUCCAAAAGUAUAUGAAAGGGGAUCUUUGGUGGAGCAAGAGAGGAAUGGCGAGGCUAAGCCACAACACCAGGCACUGUUUUACCUUUGGAGCCACAGUGCCCCUGGCGGUGUUCCCUUACUGUCAGGACUGAGGAGAGGUCCAGGGGUGGGUGGUAGCUGACCCUGCCUCGUCCCUUUAAACCCUCACAUCUCCCCCUGAGGACAUGCAGCCAGAGCCAGGGACAAAUGCAGGUUAUCAUCUCAACUUUUUCAUGGCCUCUUCCCUAACUGCUGAUUCUGACCCGUCUGCGCUCUGUUUCUGAACUCUUUCCAUUCUCCUCUGGCUUUGACUACAUUACUCUGAUGGGUACUUACGACUUCUCUUCGCUCUUGGACCAAUAACUCCUGGCUACAGACUGGCACCUCCUUAGUUCACACACGCCUUUGUCCACCCACAUUCCCAGGGGACCUGGAGACUCUGUGUAAAUAACUGGUUGAUAUUUACCAGUUAUUUCUGGCCCUAGAGUGUGUUCUGGCCCAGCAAGGUGGACCAGAUCAGGUGAAAAGCCUCAUCUGGUUCAGCCCGAAAGUGCUCAGAGACUGGGAGGAAGAGCACCAGGGAGCUUAUGCCUUCACACUGCUUCUCUUUACUUAUUUGCUCUAAAGGAAUCACUCCUCUCCCUUCUAGGUAUGAUUGCUCCGGUUCUUUUCACAUCUAUAUGGUUGGUCGUCUGCAUAUUUGAAUUACAUUAGUGAAAAAAAUUCAAAUGAACAAAUCCAAUAAUGUAAAGACUUUCAAAACUGGGCUGAGAAGUAUUCUGAAAAAUGAAUACAAAUGAUUUCACUAUAUAUAUAUUUUUGUUAAUACAGAAUACACUCAGCCUGGAAUAAUUUUUAGCUUCCCAGGGAACACGAAGUUUGAUUAAAGAAAAAUAUAUGCGUUUAUGAAUCCAAAAGGAACACAAGUUAAAUGUGGUAAAUGCAGACAUUCUUAUGAAAGAGGAACAAAGAAAACAGAAAUCAAAUGAGAAAAUAGCCCCAGAUAUUAACAUAUGAAGAAAUAAAAUUAAAAAAAAAAAAAAAAAGAGGCCUCUUUGCUUCUAACUCUUCUUGAAAAGUUUUAGAGUUAAGAGCAAGGGAAAAAUCCUGAGCUCAUAAAUUUAUGUUACUUGAUUACUUUUUCAAAUGUAAAACAAAGAAAAUCCUUGAGAGUAGAGAAGAUACUGGGAAAUGGGAAAUGCUUCCAUGCAGCAUUUUCUAUUUUCAAGAGAAAAAUCUCAGGCUCAGAAAGAAGUACGUAAGCGUGGAUCAAUAGCUCUGAUAUUUACCUUUCCUUGUAGAAGAGAUUACAGCAAUCUACAGUAUCUGAUUCAUUGUCUAGAUAGUACUCUGGUUGCUAGUGCUGAGGCUACAGCAUGUAACCCUAAGCAGGACUGACUUUUUAAAGGAAGAAAAGGCCCCCCCCCAAAAAAAACCCAAAAACCAAACCAAACAAACAAAAAAAACCAUAAACACCACCACCACCAUCACCACCAACUACAAACACACACAAACCCCUCUUGUACUCUAAAACAUAUCCCUGGCUUUGUCCUCCUGAAAACAAUGUGAAGAUGAUUGCACGGUAGCAAAAAGGUCCCUCGACUUUACUCAAAUAUAAGAAAUGUCGAAAUUGAGCUAAAAGAUUAGAUUGCCUAAUAAAACAAUUGAUAAACACAAACCAUUUGAGAUAGAUACAAAGAAUGGACCAUGACAACCCUAGAAGAUUGUUUAAUAUAAUGUCAAAAGCUACCAAUAUAAAAGAUUCCAAUUUACUCCUGUCUCCAGAUGCUGGAAAAGCUUUUGACAGUUAAUUGGAAGCUUUUAUUUUUGACACUGGAAAGCAUGGACUUGCCACAAGAAUUCAUUUCAUGGGCAGAAACAUUAUCUGAUCAUCCAAAGGCCAAAAUUAAGGCUAAUGUGUGUAAUUGGAGAUCUUUUCUUUCUUUCUUUUUUUUUUUUCUUUCCAUUUUUGACAAGGAAGCAGCCAUAGGCCGUUCACAUUUUCCUCUAUUAUUUGGUUCAUCAAUAGAAUCUCUGGCAGGCAAGAUGAAGGAAUAAAAAUGGGGUACUUAAGGCCCACAAUUUUAUUGUGAGUAGAUAAUGCGGUUCAAUUCUGGGUUGCAUGUAGAUUUGUGAAAUCCACUUCUGGGGAGUCAAGUGGGAGGCCGAAUCCCCUCUCCUGGUAGAGGGGCCUAUUUGGUUUAGUUCAAGAGGUAUUUUCCUCUUAGGAACAAGCUCUUUAUUGCUAAAUAAAGAUGCGUGUUACAGAUGGUGCCUUCUUUGUCCUUGGAAGCAGUAACCUAUUCGGAAUUCAGCCUAUUUCUCCUGUUCUUGCCCAGUUUUUUUUUUUUUUUUUCCAGAAUAAUCUCCAUGCAGCGGAGCAGAACUUCCAGUAUUAAGUCAUAUAUUUUUCUAAUUUCUCUUUUCUUUCCUAAUUGAGUAUAUAAAGAACUCAGGUUAUCUGAUGAGGAAAUAGGUGCAAGAGUACUACAAAUUUUUAUAUAUAAACAGAAGGUACAGAUGUUCAUUCAACAAAUCACAAAGGAAGCAGGGUACAGAAUUGCUUUAAACCUAGUUGCACCUAACUGUAAAAAAACAGUGGGAGGUGUGCAGGCCUUAUCCUCUCUUUUUAAACAACUUUAUUGAGCUGUAAUUAAUAUAUCCUGCAGUUUACUCAUUUAAGGUGUACAAUAAAAAGCGUACAAUUCAAGGGUUUUGGUAUAGUCACAGAACUGUGAAAGCAUUACACAAUCAAUUUUAGAAUAUCGUAUCAUCUCUAAGAGAAAUCCCAUAUGUAAUAGCAGCCACUCCCUACUUCUUCCAUCUCUAAAAGCCUAAGGCAAUUAUUAACUCACCUUCUGUUUCUAUGUAUUUGCUCAUUCUGGACAUUUCAUAUGAAUGGAAUCAUACAGUAUGUGGCUUUUUGUGCCUGGCUUCUAUUAUUUGGCAUGUUUUCAAGAUUCUUCUCUGUCGUAACACAAAUCAUAACUUACUUUCUUUUUAUGGAUGGAUGACUUUUAGUUGUAUGAAUGGACCACAUUUUAUCCAUUCAUCAGUUGAUGGACAUUUGACUUUCCACCUUUUGACUAUUAUGAUUAAUGCUACUAUGAACAUUUAUGUACAAGUUUUUAUGUGAACAUGUUUCCAUUUCUCUAGGAUAUAUACCCAAGAGUGCAAUUCCUGGGUCACUUGGAAACUCUGUAUUUAAACAGACUGUUUUCAAAGGAGGGGGUACCAUUUUACAUUUCUCCCAGCAGUGUAUGACAGAGUUUCUUCAGAUCCUCAUCAACACUUGUUAUUAUCCGUCCCUAUGGUUAUAGUCCUCCUAGUGGGUGUGAAGUAUCUCAUUGUGAUUUUGGUUUUCAUUAAUAUCAUGCCUUAACAUGGCUUAACACGAAAUAAAACAUCUUUUUAGUUGCCUAUUGGUCCUUUA